rnacentral:rRNA from 1 species
UACGUAGGUGGCAAGCGUUAUCCGGAUUUAUUGGGUGUAAAGGGCGUGUAGGCGGGAGCGCAAGUCAGAUGUGAAAACUCAGGGCUCAACCCUGAGCCUGCAUUUGAAACUGUGUUUCUUGAGUGCUGGAGAGGCAAUCGGAAUUCCGCGUGUAGCGGUGAAAUGCGUAGAUAUACGGAGGAACACCAGUGGCGAAGGCGGAUUGCUGGACAGUAACUGACGCUGAGGCGCGAAAGCGUGGGGAGCAAACAGG